GUCAUUUUCUCGACAAACGUGAACUGUGAAGUGCGUGUGCGAUUGUUGACAUUGUGACAUAGUGAUUUGUGUAAUUGGGUGCAUCAAGAUUUAAGGAUGUGGACAGUUGUUCUUUUUAAAAGUGAUAACACAGUUGACGCUGUUCCAUCUCGUUGGGUGAACACUAGUAAAAAUAUUUGUGCUUGGCCUAUAAAAGACGUAAAGAAAUGCUUAGAACGCAGGCUUCAACCUAAUAAAAUCGAAUAUGAUUUUUUUCCUGCAAGGAUCUUGAAAACCAAUAUUAAAACCUAGCAAGAAGCUAGAUCAAAAGCUAAACUAGCAGAGGAAACUUCCGAUUUAGAUCAAGAACAAAGAAAACGCAUAAAACACAGAUCCAGUACAGUAACCAUUCCAAAUCCACCAACCUUUAAUCAGGAAAGAUAUUCAAUAGUCGAUGAACACAGAAGCGACACUAGUGAAAAUCAAGAUGACAUCGUUAAAGAACCAUCAUAUAAGCUAACCAAAG